AGUGAACGCUGGCGGUAGGCCUAACACAUGCAAGUCGAACGGCAGCACAGUAAGAGCUUGCUCUUACGGGUGGCGAGUGGCGGACGGGUGAGGAAUACAUCGGAAUCUACUUUUUCGUGGGGGAUAACGUAGGGAAACUUACGCUAAUACCGCAUACGACCUACGGGUGAAAGCAGGGGGUCUUCGGACCUUGCGCGAUUGAAUGAGCCGAUGUCGGAUUAGCUAGUUGGCGGGGUAAAGGCCCACCAAGGCGACGAUCCGUAGCUGGUCUGAGAGGAUGAUCAGCCACACUGGAACUGAGACACGGUCCAGACUCCUACGGGAGGCAGCAGUGGGGAAUAUUGGACAAUGGGCGCAAGCCUGAUCCAGCCAUACCGCGUGGGUGAAGAAGGCCUUCGGGUUGUAAAGCCCUUUUGUUGGGUAAGAAAAGCAGCAGGUUAAUACCCCGCUGUUCUGACGGUACCCAAAGAAUAAGCACCGGCUAACUUCGU
rnacentral:rRNA from 1 species